AGAAUCAACGCUGGCGGCGUGCCUAACACAUGCAAGUCGAACGAGAAAGUGGUAGCAAUACCAUGAGUACAGUGGCGCACGGGUGAGUAACACGUGACUAACCUACCCUGGAGUGGGGGAUAACUGAGGGAAACCUUAGCUAAUACCGCAUAAUACCUACGGGUCAAAGGAGCAAUUCGCUUCAGGAGGGGGUCGCGGCCGAUUAGUUAGUUGGCUGGGUAAUGGCCCACCAAGACAGUGAUCGGUA
rnacentral:rRNA from 1 species